GACGAACGCUGGCGGCGUGCCUAAUACAUGCAAGUAGAACGCUGAAGGAGGAGCUUGCUCUUCUGGAUGAGUUGCGAACGGGUGAGUAACGCGUAGGUAACCUGCCUGGUAGCGGGGGAUAACUAUUGGAAACGAUAGCUAAUACCGCAUAAGAGUAGAUGUUGCAUGACAUUUACUUAAAAGGUGCAAUUGCAUCACUACCAGAUGGACCUGCGUUGUAUUAGCUAGUUGGUGGGGUAACGGCUUACCAAGGCGACGAUACAUAGCCGACCUGAGAGGGUGAUCGGCCACACUGGGACUGAGACACGGCCCAGACUCCUACGGGAGGCAGCAGUAGGGAAUCUUCGGCAAGGGACGGAAGUCUGACCGAGCAACGCCGCGUGAGUGAAGAAGGUUUUCGGAUCGUAAAGCUCUGUUGUAAGAGAAGAACGAGUGUGAGAGUGGAAAGUUCACACUGUGACGGUAUCUUACCAGAAAGGGACGGCUAACUACGUG
rnacentral:rRNA from 1 species